UUUCUAGAGAAUGCAAGUUUAACUGUUUGAGUCUUUCCUCGUAUGGCAAGUUUCUCAACCCCUGAAUCAUCUUCGUCAUCCUCCUCUGCACCGAUUCUAACAUUUUGAUAUCCAGGUGACCAGAACUGAACCACAUAGUCAAGAUGAGGUCUAACUAAUACUAAAUAUAGUUUGAGGAAGACUUCGGCGCUUCUAUUGCUCCUUCUAUUGGCUCCUUCAAAUAAAUCCCAGUACCCUAUUUGCUCGAUUUCUAGCAUGAAUGCAUUGUGCCCUUGGACGGAGAUCAGGAGCUCACUCAGACCCCUAAAUCCCUCUCGCACCCAGACCUGCUUAUGAAAGUGUCAUUAAGCAAUAGUUAUGUGAGGGGUUGUUCCUACCUACACUCAGAAAAGGCAGGGAUUGUAUGCACUUUCAAUGCGUCCACUGGAUCAGCUGAUAUAUGUUUUGAGUCUAAGGGGGGUGGGGAGACAGCGGACCAAUAGCGCGUUGGCUUCGCGUUCGUGACGUCAUGGCGGCUCCUCCCAUAAUACCUCCAUGGUCGGGACUCUAUCAAGGGACUCUACGCACCGCCUGUGACAUCAAGAUCAAGAGCAAGAUCAGCUGUGGCGGGCGGAGCAGACCUUCCAGCAGGAGCACCUCGCCAGCAGAAGGCGCCGAGGCCCCGCCGCUCCCUGCUGCUGCCGGGGACCAUCACCUGGAGACCCAUCUAACGAAGCAAAAAACUAGCCAGGGUCCGUGACUGUGGGGUCUGAGAGCUCCGAGACUCAUCAGCAGGUGCUCGCUCUCCAUUGGCAGCCUCACGCCUCGCUCGCAACUCCUGACGCUGUCUCCCAGGAUGUGGUGUUGGCCAUGCUGGGAGGAGCACAGCGCCAGGAGACAGCUGCUCAAGUGAGGGUCUGAGGCGGACGCUGUGCUCAGCGCUCGCUGCGUCCACGCUGCCGCUGACCUCAGGACUCCUUGGUGCAUCCCUCGCCUCGCCUGCCGCUUGGUCCCUGAGUGUGGCAUCGGGGGAACCUUGUCGCCCGCUGCAGCUUCCCUGAGGUUCCUGCAAGACCCCCACCCCAGGAGUGGUGGGCAGGGGAGGCUGCAAGGCCGGGCAGCAGCCUGAGUGGCAGGACCAGCAGGAACACUGCCACUGCUGUGAGGACCAGAAGAACACAACCACCACUGACAACAACAAUACCACCACCACCUUACUACUGGCACCUUCAGCCACAAAGGAAAGGGAAAGUUUGAGUGUGACAAGAUUUGAGACUGGGAGCAAGUUCAGCAGACACAGCCUUGCACACACUGGUGAGGGAAACCAUGAGUGGCCAGCGUGUGGGGAAAGACUCCCUGGGAAGGAUGACCUCAGCAAAUACACCCACACACUCUGCUGAAGGACCCCUUGAAUGCCAAGACUGUGGCAAAAGGUUCAGUUGCAAGAGUAAACUCAACAGACACACCCUUACACACACUGGUGAAAGACCUCAUGAAUGCCAAGAGUGUGACCAAAGUUUCAGUACAAAGAGUUCCCUCAAGAGACACACCCUUAAACACACUGGUGAAAAACCUCAUGAAUGCCAAGAGUGUGGCAAAGUGUUCAGUCAGAAGAGUAUCCUCAACACACACACCCUUACACACACUGGUGAAAGGUCUCAUGAAUGCUAAGAGUGUGGCCAAAGUUUCAGUACAAAGGGUUCCCUCAAGAGACACACUCUUACACACACUGGUGAAAGACCUCAUAAAUGUCAUGGCUGUGGCAAAUGGUUCAGUACAAAGGGUGACCUUAAAAAACACAGCCUUACACACACUGGUGAAAGACCUCAUGAAUGUCAUGACUGUGGCAAAAGAUUCAUUAGGAAGCGUAACCUGAACAGACACACCUUUACACACACUGGUGAAAGACCUCAUAAAUGCCAAGAGUGUGGCCAAAGGUUUGUUUACCAGAGUGAGCUCAGCAGGCACACCCAGGCACACACUGGUGAGAGACCUAAUGAAUGCCAUGAGUGUGGCAAAAAGUUCACUGAUAAGUUUUCAUUGGAGCGUCACAUCUUCAGACACUCUGGCCUGAGAGAGUUCAAGUGUGAUGUGUGUGGGAAGCACUUCAAGAUGAAGGAAGACAUUGCCAAACACAUGAAGACCCACUUCUGAGGUGCUGUGCUGCGUGGAGGAAGACAUGGGGAGGAGGAACACCAGGGAGGAAAAGAAGAAGAAAAAGCAGAGGCACAUUGUGGCUGCCAGUCUGUCUGUCCGGCACUCCCUUCAAGACAGAGGCCUGGCACUCCUCUCCUGGGCCGGCACACACACACACACACACUGUCUGCCCAGCCCUGUGCCCGUCCAUGCAGCGCUUCAAGGCUCUCCUGCUGUGCUGCGUGGCGCGGUGAGUGUGGCCGUGCGGCGCUUGGCGAGGGAGACAGCGGCUGUGUCCUCCUGGGUGCUGAGGUCCAGCAGCUGUGUCUGUGUCUGCAGGGCAGGAGGGGACACAUGUGCUCCCCGGCAGGCCACCUGUCCCACUGGCCUGCACACAGUGGCGGGACAGUCCAGCUGUCAGCCAGCCUUCAGCAGCGGUCUGUUGGGGAGAACAGAGGAUGUUCCUCAACACAGAAAAGGAAAUUUCAGUUUCUCAAGACUGGCAGGAUUAACGGAGAGGCCACGUCAUCGCUGCCACUCUCUCUCUCUCUCAUGGUAAUAACUGAACUCAAACAUUGUGUACAUUUAAUUAUGAUCAGACCAAAUAGCUCUACCUAAGAUUGGUUUUCUAGGGACAUUUCACUGCUCCAGUCACCCAGGCCAUAGCCAGAUCACUUCAGACUUUCACCUCAUGGCCCAUGGGUGGUGUAGAUUAUUAUCCAAAACAAUAGAGUUUUUAAUGGAAAAAGAUGAGAGGGGGGGGGGGGUCCUUUAUGUGUCGAGGGGGCAUGUGUCUGUGGGGUUUAUAAACAUACUGUGGGGAGACAUUCUGUGGGUCCUGUGUGCUGUGGUGAGGAGAGAGAGAGAGAGAGAGAGAGAGAGAGAGAGAGAGAGACACACACACACACACACACACACACCACAUGGGUUUCAGGGCUGUGUUGUGCAGUUUCUCGUGAGCAACAUUUCAACAGAGCGUUGGACAAGGAAGAUAAUUUGGCAGAGCAUGUUUCAGACCUGGCCCUGUUUUCAUCCGCGUGGUUCACCGACAAAAUGUGGACGACCAAAGUACUCGUGAGGGACGUGCAAUGACAGAGUCUGGCAGGUGGAGUGGUUCCCGACACAGGGCCGGCGUGGCGGUGCCGUGAUGUGGGCAGCGCACCGCCACACACUGCAAACCACCUGUGCCGGAUUGUUGCAUUCCGUGUCUCUUGUGAGUGCUCUCGUCAUCCACACUGUUAGUGAACCAUAGUGGUGAAAUUACGGCAAGGUCUGAAACACUCUGCCAAAGUAUCAUCCCUGUGCGACGCUUUGUUAAAGUUAUUCCCAAGAAAGAUAUAACACAGCCCUGCAACCCUUACAGUCUCUCUCUCUCUCUGAAACCUACAGUGGCUUUGUUGCCUCACACAUCAACACUGCAAGAAGUGUACACUGUAUUCAGUGAGCAGUGAACUCUGCUCACCAUCUGUCUGCAAGACUUAAUAAAAUACACUGAAGGGAAGCUCAAA